rnacentral:rRNA from 1 species
AGUGAACGCUGGCGGUAGGCCUAACACAUGCAAGUCGAACGGCAGCACAGUAAGAGCUUGCUCUUACGGGUGGCGAGUGGCGGACGGGUGAGGAAUACAUCGGAAUCUACUUUUUCGUGGGGGAUAACGUAGGGAAACUUACGCUAAUACCGCAUACGACCUACGGGUGAAAGCAGGGGAUCUUCGGACCUUGCGCGAUUGAAUGAGCCGAUGUCGGAUUAGCUAGUUGGCGGGGUAAAGGCCCACCAAGGCGACGAUCCGUAGCUGGUCUGAGAGGAUGAAUCGCCCAAAUGGAACUGAGAACAGGUCCCAGACCCCUACGGAGGGCGCCGUGGGGAAUUUUUGAACAUGGGCGGCAGCCCUAUCCAGGCCAAACGGGUGGGUGAAAAAGGGCUUUCGGUUUUAAAGGCCUUUUUUUGGGAAAGAAAAGGCGCCGGUUAAAACCCCCGUGUUUCGACGGUACCCCAAGAAUAAGCCACCGACAACCUCGUG